ensembl:lncRNA
GGCCCUGGUCCAAAAGUAGUGCACUACUUUGUCCCUAUAGGCCCUGGUCCAAAAGUAGUGCACUACUUUGUCCCUAUAGGCCCUGGCUGAAAAGUAGUGCACUACUUUGUCCCUAUAGGUACUGGUCUAAAGUAGUGCACUAUAUAGGGAAUAGGGUGCUUUAUGGGACAUAUAUAAUGUUUAGCAAGUGUGCUAAUGUCCUUAUUUUUCCUUUCCCGCCCAUUUGGUGGGAGAUUAAACGGAAGUCUCAGCAUUAUGACAUCAUCAAACAUAGCAGGGCAACUUCCUGUUUACAGACAACAACAAAUCACAACAAACAAAAUAAUACAAUUCUGCCAGGAGUUCCACUUUUGGGCUGAAGAAUCAGGCCGGGAUUGAAUCUGAUCGUGGGUUUAUAGGCUUUGAGGCCAUUUUUAAAAAGGCACAUUUCUGACUGAGCCGACGUUGCGUUUACUGUGAAUGGGGAUCUCUGCGAAACGCUGGGACAUUUCUGACUGAGCCGCGUUUACUGUGAAUGGGGAUCUCUGCGAAACGCUGGGACAUUUCUGACUGAGCCGACGUCGCGUUUACUGUGAAUGGGGAUCUCUGCGAAACGCUGGGACAUUUCUGACUGAGCCGCGUUUACUGUGAAUGGGGAUCUCUGCGAAACGCUGGGACAUUUCUGACUGAGCCGCGUUUACUGUGAAUGGGGAUCUCUGCGAAACGCUGGGACAUUUCUGACUGAGCCGCAGCCGCGUUUACUGUGAAUGGGGAUCUCUGCGAAACGCUGGGACAUUUCUGACUGAGCCGCGUUUACUGUGAAUGGGGAUCUCUG